rnacentral:rRNA from 1 species
AACGAACGCUGGCGGCGUGCCUAACACAUGCAAGCCGAACGGAGAUAAGGGGCUUGCUCCUUAUUUUAGUGGCGCACGGGUGAGUAACGCGUAGAUAAUCUGCCUGAUGAUCUGGGAUAACAGUUCGAAAGGACUGCUAAUACCGGAUAAGCCCACGGGGUCUUUGGACUCUGCGGGAAAAGGGGGGGACCUUCGGGCCUUCUGUCAUCAGAUGAGUCUGCGUACCAUUAGCUAGUUGGUAGGGUAAUGGCCUACCAAGGCUACGAUGGUUAGCUGGUCUGAGAGGAUGAUCAGCCACACUGGAACUGAGACACGGUCCAGACUCCUACGGGAGGUAGCAGUGGGGAAUUUUGCGCAAUGGGCGAAGGCCUGACGCAGCAACGCCGCGUGAGUGAUGAAGGCUUUCGGGUCGUAAAGCUCUGUCAGAGGGAAAGAAGUGUAUUGUGGCUAAUAUCCACGAUACUUGACGGUACCCUCAAAGGAAGCACCGGCUAACUCCGUGCCAGCCGCCACGGUAACAC